rnacentral:lncRNA from 1 species
GCAUGGUUGAGCCGUUAGAGCAAAUGGAUAAUUACAUUCAAACAAACAAAAUCUAGGGAGCUUUUUUUAUAUAUUUUAUGUGAAAAUGACAAUAAGAAUGAUGGUCGUAGUGUGAACGUAGUCAUGUCGUAAGAAGAGCGUGAUGAGGACGGCAAGGGCGUGCUAGAAUCGUACUAUGGUCGUGAACAGCGUGGUAUAGUCGUAGUGGAAGCGUAGUUGGGUCGCAGUGAGAACGUGAUGGUCGUAGUGAGGUCGUGAUAACGUCGCUGUGCGAUCGUAGCGCAGUCUCUCCGAAUUGAAUCACGCUUUCGCUACGCUCUCACUGCGAUUGUACAGCGACCGUUGCGAUCUUACUACGAUCUUAGUGCGCUCUCACUACGCUUCUACUACGACCUGAUUUCGCCACGACCGCACCACGAUUGUU